GGGCCCGCACAAGCGGUGGAGCAUGUGGUUUAAUUCGACGCAACGCGAAGAACCUUACCUGGACUUGACAUCUAGAGAAUCCCGCCCAAAAGUGGGAGUGCUCUUCGGAGAACUCUAAGACAGGUGCUGCAUGGCUGUCGUCAGCUCGUGUCGUGAGAUGUUGGGUUAAGUCCCGCAACGAGCGCAACCCUCGCCUUUAGUUGCCAUCAUUAAGUUGGGCACUCUAGAGGGACUGCCCGGGUGAACCGGGAGGAAGGUGGGGAUGACGUCAAGUCCUCAUGGCCUUUAUGUCCAGGGCUACACACGUGCUACAAUGGUCGGUACAAAGGGUCGCCAACCCGCAAGGGGGAGCUAAUCCCAUCAAAACCGAUCUAAGUUCAGAUUGGAGUCUGCAACUCGACUCCAUGAAGCUGGAAUCGCUAGUAAUCCCGGAUCAGCACGCCGGGGUGAAUACGUUCCCGGGCCUU
rnacentral:rRNA from 1 species